AGCGCACCCCUAUCCUUAUUUACCAGCGCAUAAUGGCGGGAACUAUAAGGAGACUGCCGGUCAUAAACCGGAGGAAGGCGGGGACGACGUCAAGUCAUCAUGGCCCUUAUGGGUAGGGCUACACACGUGAUACAAUGGGUGGUACAGAGGGUCGCCAAAGCGCGAGCUGGAGCCAAACCCUUAAAACCAUUCUUAGUCCGGAUUGGAGUCUGCAACUCGACUCCAUGAAGUCGGAAUCGCUAGUAAUCGCGAAUCAGAAUGUCGCGGUGAAUACGUUCUCGGGCCUUGUACACACCGCCCGUCACGUCAUGGAAGUGGGUUGCGCCAGAAGUGGCUUGUUUAACCUUCGGGAAAACGGUCACCACGGUGUGAUUCACAACUGGGACGAAGUCGUAACAAGGUAGCCCUAGGGGAACCUGGGGCUGGAUCA
rnacentral:rRNA from 1 species